GUGCUCGCUUCUGCAGCACAUAUACUAAAAUUGGAAUGUCACAGAGAAGAUUAGCAGGGCCCUGUGAAGGAUGACAUGCAAAUUCAUAACGCGUUCCAUAUUUUU